CUGUUGACAUUUACAAGAGAAUAUUGAAAUGUUUAAAAUAAGCAAUGAAGGAUUAUGAUUUAAUGUGAAUAUGUGUACUAAGAGAUAUGAUUGGUAUUAAGUUGGCCUAUACUAAAAUGUAUGAUAUAUUGAUGCCACACUGUUAAUGUAUUUUCAUGUAUGUGUAGAUUGAAAUAAAAAAACCCUUGAUUUAAAAAAGUAUAUUUUUAAAUGCUAGGGAUCCUGUUUGAU